CCACCACCACCACCACCGCCGCCGCCGCCACCGUUAUCAUCGAUGUUAGUCACUAAUAUCGUUUUUCAAAUGUUUUUUUGAAGCUUCACGUGUUUUGAUUGGUCUUGGGGUGUCACAACAGGAUGUUCAGGUACGACAUCACAAUUAACGUCUUAAGUCACCUUGCAGGUUUUGAAUGUUAAAAAGUAUCGUAUGUGAAUCUCCUUAUCAAAACCCUGGUUAGAUGUUAAAGCAGUAUUCAGUGAAUGGAGGUAUUGAAUUGUCCAUUUUUUAAAUGCAAGAAUGGAUCCUGAUUCAGUAUUCGAUCUGUGAGGAUUUAUUUAGAAUUCAUCACAUCUCACACAAAAACGUCCACGUUCAGACGUAUAAAGAAAAGGACGUACAAUGGAAUGACCAGUAUGCAGUUCUACAAUACAUGGCACAGAAGGAACUACAGAGCUAUAAGAAAUUAAACAAAAUGUCUACUCAUCUUUUGAUUGCUGCUCAGCAAGCACGGAAUAUUUGAAAGGUUGUCGAGUUGCAAUCAAAGACUGGUGAAGGCAAAAUAACAACAGCAAAGUAGUGCAACAAAAGGAUUUUACAGUCGUGUAUUUUUACCGUUUUGGAAUUUAUCAAGUGGCUAGCACCUGCAGGAAAGACGUGAGUAAGAAGAAUCUUUCAGAGAGCCGAUGUUCUGGGGGGAAAGAAAUGGCUGGGAAACGUGGGUAGUGUGGGCUGUAGGAGUUCGACGCACAAAGAAGGACGAGGCGUGGGAAGACGAAUUGACCAGGCGGAGCCGGAGUGCGAGACCAGCCAGUUUCGAGAAACAGAAGCCAUCAUUGUAGCAACAGAAUAAGCAUACUAGAGAUAUAUCUGUGAACUAGAUGAUGGAGCAUAUCCGUCUGUGACUGAUUCCAGUUAGUCAAGUGGACAUCCUCUGAAGACGAAGAGGAUACUCCGGAUACCUGCUGCAUGAAAAAUUUAUAAUUAAGUGGAUGUUAAUGUAUUUGAUGUAGAGAAUAAAUUUUGUUUAAUUACAUUGUG